rnacentral:rRNA from 1 species
GACGAACGCUGGCGGCGUGCCUAAUACAUGCAAGUUGAGCGCUGAAGGCUGGUACUUGUACCAACUGGAUGAGCAGCGAACGGGUGAGUAACGCGUGGGGAAUCUGCCUUUGAGCGGGGGACAACAUUUGGAAACGAAUGCUAAUACCGCAUAACAACUUUAAACACAAGUUUUAAGUUUGAAAGAUGCAAUUGCAUCACUCAAAGAUGAUCCCGGGUUGUAUUAGCUAGUUGGUGAGGUAAAGGCUCACCAAGGCGAUGAUACAUAGCCGACCUGAGAGGGUGAUCGGCGACAUUGGGACCGGGACACGGACCAAACUCCUACGGGAGGCAGCAGUAGGGAAUCGUCGGCAAUGGACGAAAGUCUGACCGAGCAACGCCGCGUGAGUGAAGGAGGUGUUCGGAUCGUAAAACUCUGUUGGUAGAGAAGAACGUUUGUGAGAGUGGAAAGCUCAUCAAGUGACGGUAACUACACAGAAAGGGACGGCUAACUACGUG